rnacentral:rRNA from 1 species
ACCCGCUGAACUUAAGCAUAUCAAUAAGCGGAGGAAAAGAAACCAACAGGGAUUGCCCUAGUAACGGCGAGUGAAGCGGCAACAGUUCAAAUUUGAAAUCUGGCUCUUUUAGAGUCCGAGUUGUAAUUUGCAGAGGGCGCUUUGGCUUUGGCAGCGGUCCAAGUUCCUUGGAACAGGACGUCACAGAGGGUGAGAAUCCCGUACGUGGUCGCUGGCUAUUGCCGUGUAAAGCCCCUUCGACGAGUCGAGUUGUUUGGGAACGCAGCUCUAAAUGGGAGGUACAUUUCUUCUAAAGCUAAAUAUUGGCCAGAGACCGAUAGCGCACAAGUAGAGUGAUCGAAAGAUGAAAAGCACUUUGGAAAGAGAGUCAAACAGCACGUGAAAUUGUUAAAAGGGAAGCGCUUGCAGCCAGACUUGCUUACAGUUGCUCAUCCGGGCUUUUGCCCGGUGCACUCUUCUGUAGGCAGGCCAGCAUCAGUUUGGGCGGUAGGAUAAAGGUCUCUGUCACGUACCUCCUUUCGGGGAGGCCUUAUAGGGGAGACGACAUACUACCAGCCUGGACUGAGGUCCGCGCAUCUGCUAGGAUGCUGGCGUAAUGGCUGU